rnacentral:rRNA from 1 species
UACAGAGGGUGCAAGCGUUAUCCGGAAUUAUUGGGCGUAAAGAGCUCGUAGGCGGUUUGUCGCGUCUGCCGUGAAAACCCGAGGCUCAACCUCGGGCCUGCAGUGGGUACGGGCAGACUAGAGUGCGGUAGGGGAGAUUGGAAUUCCUGGUGUAGCGGUGGAAUGCGCAGAUAUCAGGAGGAACACCGAUGGCGAAGGCAGAUCUCUGGGCCGUAACUGACGCUGAGGAGCGAAAGCGUGGGGAGCGAACAGG